GGACUACUAGGGUAUCUAAUCCCGUUUGCUCCCCUGGCUUUCGCGCCUCAGCGUCAGAAGGUGUCCAGCACGUCGCUUUCGCCACCGGCGUUCCUUCCGAUAUCUACGCAUUUCACCGCUCCACCGGAAGUUCCACAUGCCCCUACACCACUCGAGGUCUCCAGUAUCAAAAGCACUUCUCCGGUUAAGCCGAAGUAUUUCACCCCUGACUUGAAGACCCGCCUACGCGCCCUUUAAGCCCAGUGAUUCCGAACAACGUUCGCACGGUUCGUCUUACCGCGGCUGCUGGCAC
rnacentral:rRNA from 3 species